CUUUUGCGUUAGGGAUUGAAACGGCAUCCUUUUUGUCCGCCAGCUGGCGGACAAAAAGAUACAGUGUAAAGCCCGAUCCGUC
rnacentral:sRNA from 1 species